UGGGGAAUAUUGCACAAUGGGGGAAACCCUGAUGCAGCGACGCCGCGUGAAGGAAGAAGUAUCUCGGUAUGUAAACUUCUAUCAGCAGGGAAGUAUAGUGACGGUACCUGACUAAGAAGCCCCGGCUAACUACGUGCC
rnacentral:rRNA from 1 species